AACGAACGCUGGCGGCAGGCUUAACACAUGCAAGUCGAGCGCCCCGCCAGGGGAGCGGCAGACGGGUGAGUGGCGCGUGGGAACGUACCCUUUGGUUCGGAACAACUCCGGGAAACUGGAGCUAAUACCGGAUAAGCCCUAACGGGGAAAGAUUUAUCGCCGAACGAUCGGCCCGCGUCUGAUUAGCUAGUUGGUGGGGUAACGGCACACCAAGGCGACGAUCAGUAGCUGGUCUGAGAGGAUGAUCAGCCACAAUGGGACUGAGACACGGCCCAGACCCCGACGGGGGGGAGCAGUGGGGAGUAUAGGGCGAGGGGCGCAAGCCUGAUCCAGCCAUGCCGCGUGAGAGAUGAAGGGGUUAGGGUUGUAAAGCUCUUUUGUCCGGGAAGAUAAUGACGGUACCGGAAGAAUAAGCCCCGGCUAACUUCGUG
rnacentral:rRNA from 1 species